ACAUCCAUGUUGUGGGUAUCUCCUUAUUAAGUCCUUGUAUCUCUCCCAACAUUCAUAAAGUUGUUCAUCAGGCUGUUGAGAAAAAGCUACAAUCUCAUAUCUCAAUUU